UUCUGCUUCGCUCUUGCUUCGUGGUCUUGAGCAAGGAACUACUCAGAUUCGCACCCUGAUGUUUAUUGGAAGGAAAAGCCAGAAAGCAAAGAGGUUUGGUUUACGUAUGGUGGAAGGUUACAUUUUCCAGUCGGAACGACGGAGCUCUAAAUAAAAGGUAUGAAAUCCAAUCCCUUAUCUUUCUUAAGCGUAGGGAUGAAAGCCAAGAAUGAAGUCGUCUCAUCUCGUAUGGUAGCCUAUUCUUUACCUCUCGUUCCAGGGUUGGAUGCAACAUUUCUAUGUUAUAGAUAGGUGAGUUGAGCAAUACUUGUUUUCGAGGAUUUCCACAAGUCCGUCCGAGUUGAGGGGCUAGGGCUUGAAUCCGGUCGGUUGUCCGACAGUGCCGUAGUUGAAUAAGCAUUUCCUUUAUUUCUUAGUUAAGUCCUCCGCAGCCCCUCUAUCAUCGUCUCCCACAAAUCGCCGCCACCGACCAACUCUUAACUCCCACACCUCGACGUCGGCCCUCCCCUUCCCCUCCUCUUACCUCGCAGCUUCGGCAGCUGCCGGAUCCGCCGAAUCCCCCACCGAUCCAUCCCUCUAGCAGCACAUCUCUCCCUCUCUCGUGUGACCCCUCGUGCCGCGGCCAACGCCGGCCAAUUCCGCCAACGCCCCCCACUGCGCAGCAGCCUCACGAGCUGCUCUCCGACCCCUCCGUCCGCCAAGAUGGCUGGAUCCGCCGCUCCCGGUCACCGGUGCUCGCCCCGCAACACCUCGCCUGUGGCUGGGGUUACAGCCAUGGCGUCGCGUACAUCACGGGCGUGUCUCCGGUGGCGACUCUCCGUCGGAAAAAGUGCCCCCUCACGCCCUCUCCACCUCUUGGAUGGCGCUCCCUAGCUCGGCGCGCUCGCAUGCGUUGGACUGGACGCCGGCGAUGCGUCCUCCUCUGUCACGUCUCCGGCGCAGCUAUGCACAUGUGGCGACCUCCUCUGCCUCGCGAAGCCGGUGGCCAACCUUCGCUGCGAGCGCUGCAUCGCCUACAAACCGAGCAGAACAUGGGUGUUCUGGAGCAGAUGCUGCUUGGUAGAGCAAGCACAGGCGCCAUGAAAGGGGAAGAAUAAGAGUUCUUGCACAUAACAUGUUUGAUGAAAUACAAGCACCAGAAAUUGAACUCAUCUCCAAGCUAUGCUUUAUGAGAGGCUAAGACUGUUACAUUAUUUUGUCCAGUCCAUGAUGCAAGAUUCAUUCAUUUGUGAUUGUUGCAAUAACGAUUAUUGGCCAAAAGCAUGGUUGUGUGUGGUUCCUGCUGCUGUACUGUGGUAUUGGUUUUCUUCCGCCUGCCUGAUGUGGUGAUGCUUUGGUGUGCCUAUUGUUCGCAGAGAUUAACCAAUAUUUGGGAGAUGUGGUGGCUCACCCGAUCGGAAACAUAACAAGAUGAAGGAGCUUAAGUAUAGCCACAUCAGGGCGACCUGGGAGCAAGGAAGUUUAUGUGUGAUAGGAGAUGAUCGCCAUAAUCUGGGUGCUAAAGGCCUUUGGAAACAGAACAAGAUGAAGGAGCUUAAGUACAGCCACAUCAGGGCGACCUGGGAGCAAGGAAUUUUACCUGUGAUAGGAGAUGAUCGCCAUAAUCUGGGUGCCAAAGGCCUAGGGGAUUAUAACAUGGUUUUUUUAUAGAAAGGACGCUCAUGCCGUAGCUUACAGUACCAGGCAACAAUCUUCUGUUGAUUACAGUGCCAAAAACUCCAGCAGGCCACAGGACUCCUACGCCGCUGGUGCCUGUCAACGUCGCUGCCGAUGCCCUGCAUCCGAUUGGCUGCCAAGGAAUCCACCAACCCGUCCCAAUACACGUGUGUAUCCCACAUCAUGAGCUCCUCGAAGGUGAGCAGCUGGCCCAGCCUCGCCAUGUAACACACGGUCUUGGUAGUGGAGAUGUUGUCAUUGUCAUUGCGGUCGAAGGUGUGGAGCAUAGGGCGUGAGCACCAGCAUGAUGGUGUGCGCCAGCUCGUCGAACUCGGAGGCCCGCUGACAUUUGCAUCGAUGGCCAGCAGCAGAAGGACUCCUCACCCGGCGGUCGCAAGCUUAUGGGGGUGGAGUGGGGCAUCGAGCUUGAGAUCUCCUGGCUCUUGUCACGUCAUCACUGACUCAGACCAGAAGAGUUCUGUUGUGUUCGGCGUCACGCCCUCCACAGCCUGCGAUGGUGAUCACGAUGCCCCUGCAGAACGACGCGCCGACGCCUGUCGCUGCCCUGCAUCCUGCUCCGCGCUGUGACCAGUGCUGCCACCCUGCUCUGCGUUGUGCCCUCGAUAGGCGCCAUCCUUGGACGCCAUCUCUUCCAACCUCUUCUUCCCUUCCGGAUUGAUACUAGCGCCCAGCUUCAAAAAUGAUCCGUGUUGUUGGCACCAUUCCAAACUGAAAUCAAUUACAUACUCAAGGCAGUUCUAGAUGUCUGCAAGUUUGUGAUCCGCAAAUAUUAUAGUCAAAAGGAUUUCAAUUGUGAUAGGCCGUAGCUUCACUUUACAUGCUCAGGCUUUGUAGCUGGAUCAGGUGAAUCUGUUUUGUCGUGUGAAUACCAGUAAAGUGAAACAGAAGCAGCACACAGGCGCGUCUUCUUGCUUUUUUUACUUGCUGUAGCUGGAUCAUUAGCUUGAACGCACAGCAAUCUAGCCUAUUCCUGUCCCCCAUGAUAUCUCUUCUUAAUUUGGUAGAUCAUGUUUUUGCAAGAUGACAGCACCAUAUGUGUAGCUGGAUCAUUAGCUUGAAUGCAAAGCAAUCUAGCCUAUUCUUUUCCCCCAUGAUAUCUCUUCUUAAUUUGGUAGAUCAUGUUUUUGCAAGAUGACAGCACCAUAUGUGUAGUUGCUGACUGUGUUUAUAUCGCAAAAAUAUUAUGGUUUCAAGCAUCUACCUGUCUCUUAUUAUUAACUAGCAAAAAGGCCCGUGCGUUGCAACGGGUGAACAAAAACCUUACAUGUACCUAGCGACACAUUGGUCUUGCCACUUCUUCCGUUUGUCGAUGGUGGUCAUGUAUAUUUCACCUAAUCAUGGCAAACACUUCUCCAGUUCGUUGAUGGUGGUCAUAAUUUCCACCUAAUCACAAUAAACAUGAUCAAUUCCAAGGCGAUGACAUUGGCCAUUACACUAUAGCAUGCUGCAUUCACGUGCCCCUUUUUCAGACUUGUAAUUCGACCGGAUGACAUGUCCCCUUUAAUGUAUGCAUGAGUACAAUUAAAAUGUAAUAUUGUAAGAUACACAAUUUUACUAUUGUUUACUUACGUAUUAAUUCUGCACUAUGGCUUUAGUAUAUUACAAUCAAAUAUAAAAUAGUUUAGAAUCUCUCCUAGAAUGGCAAAUGCCAGCAGCAAAAGUUUCAAAUUUUUCAUAAGAACAUCAAUAGUCAUGUUCGAAAUUUAAUUUGCCAAUCUUAAAUACUAUAUGAUGCAUCUGACAACUUAAAAUCAAAUAAUAGGCUGGGUCCUUCAUUAAUAAUAAGAGACAGGUAGAUGCUUGAAACCAUAAUAUUUUUGCGAUAUAAACACAGUCAGCAACUACACAUAUGGUGUUGUCAUCUUGCAAAAACAUGAUCUACCAAAUUAAGAAGAGAUAUCAUGGGGGAAAAGAAUAGGCUAGAUUGCUUUGCGUUCAAGCUAAUGAUCCAGCUACACAUAUGGUGAUGUCAUCUUGCAAAAACAUGAUCUAUCAAAUUAAGAAGAGAUAUCAUGGGGGACAGGAAUAGGCUAGAUUGCUGUGCGUUCAAGCUAAUGAUCCAGCUACGGCAAGUAAAAGAAAGCAAGAAGACGCGCCUGUGUGCUGCUUCUGUUUCACUUUACUGGUAUUCACACGACAAAACAGAUUCACCUGAUCCAGCUACAGAGCCUAUCAUAAUUUGAAGACACAUGCAUCAGUGAGAACACAUAGUAUAACAGUGGGAUUAGUAAAGCUAUGGAUUAUCAUAAUUGAAAUCUUUUUUAAUAUAAUAUUUGCAAAUCACAAACUUGCAGAGAUCUAGAACUGACCUGAGGAUGUAAAGUGAAGCUACGGCCU